UACGGAGGGUGCAAGCGUUAUCCGGAUUCACUGGGUUUAAAGGGUGCGUAGGUGGGUCUGUAAGUCAGUGGUGAAAUCUCCGUGCUUAACAUGGAAACUGCAUUCGAUACUGCCGUGCUUGAGGACUGGAGAGGAGACUGGAAUUUACGGUGUAGCGGUGAAAUGCGUAGAUAUCGUAAGGAAGACCAGUGGCGAAGGCGGGUCUCUAGACAGUUCCUGACGCUGAGGCACGAAGGUCAGGGGAGCAAACGGG
rnacentral:rRNA from 1 species